rnacentral:rRNA from 1 species
AACCUCCGCAAUGUGAGAAAUCGCGACGGGGGGAUCCCAAGUGCCAUUCUUAACGGGAUGGCUUUUCAUUAGUGCAAAGAGUCUUUUGGAAUAAGGGCUGGGCAAGACCGGUGCCAGCCGCCGCGGUAACACCGGCAGCUCUAGUGGUAGCAGUUUUUAUUGGGCCUAAAGCGUCCGUAGCCGGUUUAAUAAGUCUCUGGUGAAAUCCUGUAGCUUAACUGUGGGAAUUGCUGGAGAUACUAUUAGACUUGAGACCGGGAGAGGUUAGAGGUACUCCCAGGGUAGAGGUGAAAUUCUGUAAUCCUGGGAGGACCGCCUGUUGCGAAGGCGUCUAACUGGAACGGUUCUGACGGUGAGGGACGAAAGUUAGGGGCGCGAACCGGAUUAGAUACCCGGGUAGUCCUAACUGUAAACGAUGCGGACUUGGUGUUGGGGUGGCUUUGAGCUGCUCCAGUGCCGAAGGGAAGCUGUUAAGUCCGCCGCCUGGGAAGUACGGUCGCAAGACUGAAACUUAAAGGAAUU